ACGUCGGGAUCGGAACCGGCCCACCUCUCCUUCCCCAGAGGGGAUUUCACGAGCUCCGGUUUGCAGCCCGGCACCCCUCGGAGAGUCCCUCCAGGGUGCCUGAGUCGCGCCCAGCCUGUGCCUUCACAACUCGAUGCAGGGACCCGGGGAGGCGCGCGAGGACCGACCGGUCACCGCUCCAAUUACCUCAUCGCUUUAGCUCCCCGCCCCUUUCCCAAACCUGGAAGAACUGUCCCCUCCGGCCCCGGUCACCGCUCCCGCCCCGCGUCCCCCCCACCCCGACCCCCCCGCCAACCCCGAUCCCGAGCGGGUCUCGGGGAAACGCGCCCGCCUCCUCGGGGGGCUGCCGAGCCCCGGGAUGCGCGCACCCAAGGGUUAAGGGCGCCGGCCGGCGGCCGCGCCGGGCGCUCGCGGUGCUCAGAGCGGCUCGCCCCGCCGGAGGGUGGCCCCCCCAACCCCCCCCACCCCCACCGAAGUCGGAUCCUUGAGCUGCGGCGGCGGCAGCCAACUGCUCCAUAUUUGGCUUCUAUUACACAUUUACAUACUGGAGCGAGCGAGCGAGCGAGCGCGAGAGAGCGCGAGGGAGGGCGGGCGGAGGGAGGAGGGAGGGGAGGAGGGGGGAGGAGGAGGAGAGAGCAGAGUAUACCGCAGACAUCAUUUCUACUACAGUGGCGGAGCCGUACAGGACCUGUUUCACUGCAGGGGGAUCCAAAACAAGCCCUGUGGAGCAGCAGCCAGAGCUACCGCAGCCGCAAGACACUGUUUCUCUCCCUCUGCCCCCCCUUCCCCACGCAACCCCAGAUCCAUUUACACUUUACAGAGGAUCCGGCUGCAAAUCACCGAGGUGUUCCGUUCAAGCUGCAGAUUCGUCUGUCGUCUUUGGACAGCGGUCUCCUCCUCCACGGCUGCCUCGGGGGAGCCCGACACCCAUCAGGGUUUACAACUUAUCAGCUGUGUGUUGUGGCUUCUAACUCUGUGACUGCUCUAAGCCCAUCAAGAGGUUAA
rnacentral:lncRNA from 1 species